rnacentral:rRNA from 1 species
GAUGAACGCUGGCGGCGUGCUUAACACAUGCAAGUCGAACGAUGAAGCCCAGCUUGCUGGGUGGAUUAGUGGCGAACGGGUGAGUAACACGUGAGUAACCUGCCCUUGACUCUGGGAUAAGCCCGGGAAACUGGGUCUAAUACCGGAUAGGAGCGCCUGUCGCAUGACGGGUGCUGGAAAGAUUUUUCGGUCAUGGAUGGACUCGCGGCCUAUCAGCUUGUUGGUGAGGUAAUGGCUCACCAAGGCGACGACGGGUAGCCGGCCUGAGAGGGUUACCGGCCACACUGGGACUGAGACACGGCCCAGACUCCUACGGGAGGCAGCAGUGGGGAAUAUUGCACAAUGGGCGGAAGCCUGAUGCAGCGACGCCGCGUGAGGGAUGACGGCCUUCGGGUUGUAAACCUCUUUCAGUAGGGAAGAAGCGGAAGUGACGGUACCUGCAGAAGAAGCACCGGCUAACUACGUG